rnacentral:tRNA from 1 species
GACACAGUGGUCCAACGGUUAAGAUGGCUGUCUUCCAUUACUUUGCUGUGUAAACAGCCGACCCGGGUUCGACUCCCGGCUGUGUCA